rnacentral:tRNA from 1 species
UUAAUUGAAGCCAAAUUAGAGGCAUAUUAUUGUUAAUAAUAUAAAUGAAAGCUAUUUCCAAUUAAA